rnacentral:lncRNA from 1 species
UUUCUGAAUUUUAGCUUCCUUCUUUUCCUUGCUUUUUUUCAGAAUUUCAGCUUCCUCCUUUUCCUUCCUUUCAGGUUCCUCCUCUUCCUUCCUUUUCAUUUCAGCUUCCUCCUUUUCCUUCCUUUCAGCUUCCUCCUCUUCCUUCCUUUUCAUUUCAGCUUCCUCCUUUUCCUUGCUUAUUCCCAGAAUUUCAGCUUCCUUUUUUUUAAUUUUCUUCAUCAGAAUUCGAAGUUCUUUACGGCUUUUGGCAACAUACUCUCUAUACUGACCCUUGCCAGACCACGCAAUUUUCAGCCUAUACAACUGCUGGUUUAGAGGAUAAUUAAUUAACAUUAAAGAACUCAAAUAUGAACAAAGAAACUAAAACUGUAAAACUUGAAUCAAAAUCAUUGUUAGAGAAAAACUUGCCUCGUGAUUUAAAUCAGCAUCAGGCUUAUUGAUGCAACUACGAACGUCUUUGAUCAUUUCAUCAUAAAAGAUAUCAUAAUAAGUCUGCAGGUAUAAAAAAAUAAUAUUAAAGGGCUAAAACAGACAAAGAAACUAAAAAUUGUUUGAAUAAAAAGCAUAGCUAACGAUCAAAAAAAUCAUGCCUGGUGAUCUCUAUCAUUUUUGAUGAGAAGUUUGCCGGUUUUUGGCCCAGAUCUCCUUUUGCCGGUAUAUGUGGGUCCUGAGAUGACCCAAGUAGUUGGCUUAGAUUUCUCCUCGUCAGUCAUUUGUGGAAGAUUGGGGGAGAGACUUAACCUGCAGAGAAAUUAAAAAUAAUGAUGAUAAGAAAAUGAAAACCCUAAACCCCCAAAACCGACAAGUUUAUUCCCCGCAAUCAAUCAUAGAUUCAAAUGCAAUAAUAAACUACAAUUGAUUGAAGAAGGGAAUUAGAUAGGUUUUGAAGGAGGGAAAAGUUGCUAAAAUAUUAGGUUAAAAUUAGGGCAACAAAGCUUUGUUUAGCAAUAUGGUUUAUGGAAAUCAAUUAGAUAGGUUUUAG